CCGGCCUUAAGGCGGUUUUCCACCAGGCGAAAUUUUUCGACCGAAUCGAAAUUUCUCUUUGUUUCAUGAGCUCUCAAGCAGAACUAAUUGUAAAAAGACAAAGAGAAAUUUCGUUUCGGUCGAAAAAUUCCGCCUCGUGGAAUCCGGCCUUUAAGGCGGG
rnacentral:miRNA from 1 species